GGGGGUGCACUGGUUUCGACGUGGGUAAAGAAGCUUAGGGAGCAGGUAGAGGCGCAUGAGGACCUCUCAAAAAACGUGCACUUGUAGUUGCAAACCAAAACUUUGCACUUGCUGCCUAAUUUAGUGUAGCACGCUGAUUCAAGAAAUGGUGAUGGUCUUGAUGAGGUGUCACUUUAGUCACCUCGGUCGAAAGUGGUUUUCUUCAGCGCUUUCAGCCUAAAUUUUCUGAGGGAAUAUUUGUAAAUGAGUUUGUUUGUGUACUUGCUUACAAAUCAUUAAACGCAAACUAAACCUGUAGUGCCUUAACGUGGAAGACUUGCGGACGGGGGUUCGAUUCCCCCCACCUCCACCA
rnacentral:tmRNA from 1 species